rnacentral:lncRNA from 1 species
AUCGACGGAUGCAAUGAAAAGUUAAUGAAGGUAACUGUGCCUUGCCGAAUCCGGGCUCUUCCCUUCCCCGCUGACCCCUCCGCUSUCCAAUUAACAUCCAGGCUGGAUGGCCCGGCUGGGAUGCGUUUGCCCAGGUUUCCUGCGCUCAGGGAGCCAGCGAUGGAGGGGUCUGUCCGAGCAGCGUGUGUGGAGAGAAGGUGACCUGCCACGGCCAAGGGCUGGCAAUGACAGCGYAAGUGAAAAGCAAAGCAGUUGGAGCUUGCAGCAUCCCAGCAGCUGGCACCAUCUUAGAGGGUGAUUAACAACCAAGAGCCGCAAAAAAUUUGCUUCUGGCUUGGCUCUCUGGCUCUCCCAUUGCUGUCCCUGCGGUUUCUGGGGGAAUGCAAGGGGAC